CAGUUUUGAGAUUAAUCAAAGAUUGUUUAAUCACAGUCAAAGCUCAGGGACAACUUCCUUAAGAAAAAUGUGUAUUGUAACAAAAAUUAGAAAAUGUAGCUAUUUCUCAAGAAGUUGUAGGGGAUCCAUUCAUCACCACACCGCCUGGGUACAGUAACUGUCAAUACUGUAUGUCUUUUCUAAAUUCGACAGUGUACCACAUAGAUUAAUUUGUUGUCAAAUAUUCAUCACAAAAUUUUCAUGUGUCAUUGAUAAUCUGUUAUAUGUAUAUGGUUAGCAUUACAUUCUGGUAGCUUGUGUUCCUUAAACCACAUAAAUUGAAUAGUAAGCUUUUUUCUAUUUUUGAUACAGAGUCUUGCUCUCUCUGUCACCCAGGCUGGAGUGCAGUGGUGCAGUCUCGGCUCACUGCUACCUCCGCCUCCUGGGUUCAUAAAAUUUUUCUCCUAUCUCAGCCUCCCAAGUAGCUGGCAUUACAGGUGCACACCAUACAUUUGGCUUUUUUUUUUGUAUUCUUAGUAGAGUUGGGGUUUCAACCUGUUGGCCAGAUGGUCUCGAUCUCCUGACUUUGUGAUCUGCCCACUUUGGCCUCCCCUCCUGCUGGGAUUACAGGCGUGAGCCACGGCACCCAGCCUGAAUAGUAAGCUUUUACUCGGAAAAUUUGUUUCAUAUUUUAGCUGUGAUGAAUAAAGAAGUGGAAAUUUAUUGGUUUUAAAAUCCUGCCUUUCGUCAUUUGCAUAUGUACAGUGCUUCAGAGAACUACUACUUGAAAUUCAGUUUGAUCUAAGGAUCUUAUAAAUUGUAUAAAAUUUAAAAAGUAAAUUUUUAAGUAAAAAAACAAAAAUUACAAUAAAUCUUAUUUAUUCCCCCCAUUAUAGCAGUUCAUGUAGGAAUCAAAGGAGGAGUUGGAUUGUUUAUCUAAUUUUGUUUUUUAAAUAGAACUGAGGUCUCACUAUUUUGCCCAGGCUAGUCUCUUAACUCCUGAGCUCAAGUGAUAUUCCCGCCUUUGCCUCCCAAAGUACUAGGAUUACAGCGUGAGCCACCAUGCCUAGCCAGCUUUUAAUAGAGAAGAAUGUUUAAAAAACAAAAGAUAUCUUCCAAAUUAUUAUAUUUUAUAAUUUUAUUAUUUAUGUAGUUUUUGUGUAUUCUGUUUUAAAUUGAUUUUUUUAAAAUGAAUUUUAUAAUAUUUUAAAGUCAUUUUAAAUCCAAAUAUGAGACCUUUGGUAGUCUAAGAUGCAAAUUAUGUAAGACAUAAAUUAGAUAUCCCUUGAAUAUAAAUCUUUAAGAGAUUUUAUUUGUUUCGACAAGUUCUAUCCUCCUCAUGGUUGACUUGCAGCACAAUAUAAUAUUUAGACAUCUUAAGAAACCUGUUGGAGGCAUUGCUAUGAGUUCUAAUUAGCAUUGUUUGUAGUGCACCUAAAAGUGGGGACAGUUCCAUCCUUCAUAGUUGACCAGGAGUUUGCACUGGCUUAGCGAUUAGGUGUCAGUCAGUGCUCAGUAGUCUCCAGCUGUUCUGACGGGCAGGUGAAUAUAUUUAGUAGUCAGGGUUGAGGAACCAGGCUGUUUACAGUUUAGCCUUUACAUUUGCUUUGAGUAGGAAGAGACUUGCAAGAGAGAUACCCAAAGAAAUACUGAAUAAUUCAGGAGCAGGUUUGCAUUUAUCCACUGGUACUAUUUAGUUGCAUUUAUUAUACAGCUUCCUGCCCUUUCACAAAAAUUUAUUGAGCUAGUAACUAUUUACAGGAUUAGCCAAAGAAAAAAGCAAUGUUUAUUAGACUGUUAGAAUAUAGUUUCCCUGUUUAGUAUUAGAACAAUAUAUUAUAAUGAGUGAUGUGAUUGUCAGAAUUACUUACAUUUGUGUACAUAUGUUUUCUCCAUUAAACUUCUGGUUCUGUGUUCUGUUCAUUAAACAUAAAACUUUAUUAAAGUGUAACUUGUAUUCCGCAAAAUUCACGUAUUUGAAAUAUGCCUUUGAAUUACGUUUUAGUAGAUUUAUUGAAUUGUGCAACUAUCACCAUAAUAUAGUCUUAGAACUUUUCCCCCAGCCUUGGGCAGCCACAGAUAUGCUCUGUGUCUCCAAGUCUGUUCCCUUCUGUGGCAAGCUCAAUGCAUUCUGUCUGGUAGGCAGGCAGCUAGUAUUCCCUGCAUAAAAUUUGAGUAGCAAUUCAACAAAACUGAGUGCAAUUGGUAAUGAUCACUCAGACAUUUUCUGUGGCGAAGUUGUUGAGAUGAGCGUGGGAUACACAUGUCUUCAAGGGGCCCUAACACAGCAUGACCAUGUUGUGCGUGAGCCUUAGGUAGAGGCUGAGCAUACACCUGGAGGAGGGAGGCGCUGAGACCUAGGUGAGUCUAGAAGAUGCACUCUUUAUCUUGCCCCUAGUCAAGGAAGGUCAUUUUUCAAUGUUCUCACCUUGAUGUAAUAAGGAUCUACUGAUUUUGAAGUAUAUUACUCUAAUAGUACUGAUCAUAGUACUUUGCAUUAAGUUUCCCUGAGUUCUAGGCAGGGACAGUGAUGAAACUGUAGUCCCUCAAUAUUUCAGAAACUGGAAUGAAACUGGUAAUGGGAGGAAAGCCAGAGGACAGUGUAGGGUGGAGGCAGAGAGGCUAACUCAUGUGAAGUAUAGUAAGGUGGAUUUGGUAUAAAGUGAGGGGUCAGUUGGGGUCUUAGCAAGAGUAUUUCCUGGGACUGAUAUGAGCAAAAGCCAGGUUGCAGUGGGCAGGAGACAGCAGUGGUAGACACAACUUGGACAGUGACAUGCCUCCUAAGAACUUGGCUUUGAAGGUAAGGCGAUGGAUGGUGAGAGGGGAUUGAAAGGGUUUCGAGGGUAUGUAUGAUGAGGAGUGACUACUGGCAGUGGGCCACUAUGACGUGUUCUUGAGGAAGAAAAAAUAUCUAACCACUGGCAUUCAGCAGCAGUGUUUUUCCGUUAAAGGUUCUUUACCUUCCCUGUUAGGGCCACAAACUUCUUCUAUAGCAAACCUCAUUGGUGGUUUUUUGCCCCUCUUGAAGCCCACUCAGGGACUCCAGUUCUUACUCCUGCAUAUGACCAGCCAAGCAGCUGCUUUUCCCUUGGAGACACUGCAUCAUCCUUGAAUUCAUUUUCUAUCGGAAUGAUCCUGUUGUGUUUUUUUCAUAAACCAGCAGCAGGUUUGAGAGAGGAAUAUGAAUGAAUCAUGAUGUUUAGGGACAGGUAAUACUAGGUAGAAGUGUUUUAUGUUAAAUUACCUCCUCGGAAGAAAGAUGCGAAGUCAUAUCAAGUCUUUUCUAUAAUCAUAGUGUGAAACUGGAAAGCUGAAAUUGGAACUCUAACUCGUCCUCAUACUAAACUCUGUAUACAGUUCAGCAAAAAUCUGUGUUAGAAUUAAUUUUUUUUUUUUUUUGAGAUAGUCUCACUCCAUCACCCAGACUGUCUGUAGUGCAGUGGCGCGAUCUCUGUUCACUGCAGCCUCUACCUCCUGGGUUCAAGAGAUUCUUCGGCCUCAGCCUCCUGAGUAGUUGGAAUUAUAGGUGUGCACCACCACACUUGGCUAAUUUUUGUAUUUUUAGUAGAGAUGGGGUUUCGCCAUGUUGCCCAGACUGGUCUCAAACUCUGGCCUCAAGUGAUCGCCUGCCUCAGCCUUCCAAAGUGCUGGGAUUAUAGGCGUGAGACACUGUGCCCAUCCCAGAAUCUUUUUUUUUUAACUCCUUUACUGCCUCAGCUGCCUCCUCUUCAGUCGCCUUUGCCUGAAAAUCACCUUUGCCUUUUGAUGACACAGCUUCUGAAUGAAUAAUUAUUAAUUAGCAGUUCAAAUUAAUUAUAGCAGUCCUUAUUUUGAAUAACAGUAGGCUAGCAAUCAGAAAACUUGAAUUUCUAUGAAAAUAUCCAACUCUUUUUGUAUGCAAAUGACAUGUGGCUCCUCUUAGCAUGUUAUCUUGCAGGUUAAGCCUUUUGGCAGGUUGUUGCCACCUUGUCAGUCUGUUUUGAGAAAAGACUUGGCUGGGUGCAGUGGCUCACACCUAUAAAUUCCAGCUUUUUGGGAGGCCAAGGUGGGAAGAUUUCUUGAGCCCAGGAGUUCAAGACCCUGUAUUUACAAAAAAAACAGGCAUGGUGAUACUUGCCUGUUGUCUUGGCUACUCAGGUGGCUGAUGGGGGAGGAUUGCUUGAGCUAGGAGGUCAAGGCUGCAGUGGGCUGUGAUAUCACCACUGCACUCCAGCCUGGGUGACAGAGGGAGACCCUGUUUCUAAAAAAAAAUAAAUAAAUAAAAACUAAAGACCUAAGAACUUUCCUUAAGGAUGUUGAUACCUUUUCCUGUCUUAGAAAUAUGUUUGUUACUAUACCAGAAACUGUAAAGCUGCCUUUACAUCAGAAUGAUUUAAUUACAAAACAAUCCAGUUCUUCUCCAGUUACCCCCAGAGUGUAUGCACGGUUCUUGGUCUUCUGGUAACUUCUUAGAACUUGCCCCAGGAUGAAGGAUACUCUUUGACCAGGUGCCAUCUUUUCCUCUUAGAAUAUAUUUGUGCUGAGAAGGCUGGUAGAUCCUUUUUAAUGUAGAAAAUUUCUUUUUGAUGAGAUAGCAUUGUAGCAUUUUGAUUGUAGCGUUUUGGUCAUUGGCAGAAGGAAUGCUUUCUAUAACACAUACCCCUGAUCUUUUUAGUUCCAAGGCAUAUUUAAAAAUAGAGGGAUUUCUUCAUUCCCUGUUUGGCUUACUAUUCUUAGUUUUAUCCUUGUGUAAAUGAGUUAUAUGCUGCUAAAACUUCUCUUGUUGUAGAUGUAUUGUAAUAGCAGUCUUUCAAGGCACAGGGAUCAGUAAAAACAUCUUCCAACUUAGAACAUUUUGUAAUUUCUUUAAAAAAAUUAGUAAUUUUGCUGCUUAGUAUUUGCAUCAUUUAGAAUAUGAGAAACUUUUGCAAAUUCUUUCAUUUUAGGAUUUCGUUUAAUUUCUAUUAAGGCAUUUUGUUCAAUAGUAGAUUUACAAGUGAACUUUGUGUGGCAGUACUGUGUAAACUGUUGUGCUGAGAGAAUAGUCAGAUCACUGGGAGGAAGUGACAGAUGUGUCAGAGUUCUCUGCCUGGCACCUGGCUACCUUCAUAGGCAUCAGUGUUCUUACAUAUACACAUAGCUACAUGCACAGAUCAUAAAAGUAUAAAUCAGUGUUUUUCUGCAAAAUAAACACAUGUAGGUAAUCCACUGCCAAGAUCCUCAAAGAGUCCUGUGAGUUUUUGGCAGCAAUUUGACUACAUGUCACAAUUCUAGAAAUUGUGAAAAUAGCAGAAAUGUGUAUCUUCAAAUCAGGGAACUUUUGCAGAUAAGAUACUUGAGGCCGGGUGCGGUGGCUCACGCCUGUAAUCCCAGCACUUUGGGAGGCCAAGGAGGAUAGAUCACUAGGUCAGGAGACCAAGACUGUCCUGGCCAACAUGGUGAAAGCCCAUUACUACUAAAAAUAGGACAAAAUUAGCUGGGCAUGGUGGCAGGUGCCUGUAAUCGCAGCUACUUGGGAGGCUAAAGCAGGAGAAUUGCUGGAACCAGGGAGUUGGAGGUUGCAUUGAGCCAAGAUCCCAUUGUACUCCAGCCUGGAGACAGAGUAAGACUCCAUCUCCCUUCCCUUCCAAAAGAAAAAAGAAAAAGAGAUACUUGAGAGAGUCAUACAGUGGUGUCAAAGCUUCUGAGAUGAUUGGUCUGUUUGAUUCUUUGUUUGGAGUUCUGAUCUCAUGAAGCCAGUGCUUCUCACCUAGACAGCUGCAGUCACUCCUCCCUGAUGUCCCCAACCUACCCUUCUGUUCUAAGACAGUGGCCAAAGGAUUCCUUCGAGAAGACCAACUCAGAACCUACACUUCUGUGCUCAACAUCAGAGUCAGCCUGUGUCUUGGCAGGGCCCUACCUGUCCUCUCUGACUCUCCUGCCUGCUGGCUCUCCCCUGGCACGCUGCCAGCCCCAGUGGGCUCUUGACCGUUGGAUCAUGCCAGCGUCACCUCACCACAGGGUUGUCUGCCUCAAUUAGUCCUGGUGUGCCCCUUUCCCAGCAGUCUUCGAGGCUUGUUCUCUUACCUCUCUCAGUCUCGGCCUCACCUUCUCAGUGAGCCCUAUCUAUCCACAUCCACCUCCUCUGGCUUGCCUCAGACCCCUUACGUGUAGCAGUUAGCAUCUUCUAACAAUGGUAGCUAUUUGUUAGGCGUAGUGUUUAUCUCUGGACUAGAAUGCUAGGGUUUUGUUUUGUUUAUUGUUGUAUCCUAGUGUCUUCCUGACAGACAGGUGCUUCAUAAAUAUCUCCGGUAUAAAAGAAUAUAUCACAUAUGGUGGUUAUCACUGCAGACUAUCAUGGCUCUUACUAUGCACUCACCUAACACUUAAGUUUACUCAUUAAUUCCUGUGAGCCCUACACCUGUCUUACCACUAGGUACUGUUAUCCCAUUUUGCAAAGGAGGAAACUGAGGCACAAAGAGGCUUAAGUAAUUUAUCCCCAAGAUUACUGAACUAAAAAGUGGUAGAACCCGGAUUUGAACCCAGGCAGCCUGGCUUCAGAAUCCAAACUCAAGAGGAAAUACUUUCUAUUUGGUACUGUUAUUUCAUUUAAAAAGAGAAACAAGAAGGAAAUAAUUAAAAACACCCAGCUGUUUGUUUUGUUUUGUUUGUUUUAAGAGACAGGGUCUUGCUCUAUCACCGAUGCUGGAGUGCAGUAGAACAAUAAUAGUUCAUGGCAGCCUCAAACACCUGGGCUCAAGUGAUCCUCCUGCCUCAGCCUCCUAAGUAGCUAGGACUACAGACAAGUUCCCCCACACCCCGCUAACUUUUUAUUUUUAUUUAUAGAGAUGGGGUCUUGCUGUGUUGGCGAGGCCAUUUCAGAGUUCUUUAAGGCUGUCCCCUCAUCACAGGCGCAUCAUAUUUGCCCUCUAGGAGGGCAAAAUGGCUUUGGUAGAUGAGUACUGGGGGCCUUCCACAGGCUUGCUGCCCAGAGCUGCCUUCGACCUCUGCUCCCCAUGUCUGGUACAUGGCUUCUCAGUCACCCCAGCUGUGGCUCAAGUGGGCCCAGUGGUGGCUCAGGGCGCGGCUCCAGAAGGUACAAAUCAUAAACCUUCGUGGCAUCCACAUGUUGCUAAUUUUCAGGCAAGAAGAAUGCUAGAGCUGUGGAGCAGCCUUCACCUAGAUUUCCAAAGAUGUCAUGGACAGUCUGGGGGCCCAGGCAGAGACUUGUCACAGGAGCAGAACAACUGCAGAGAGCCUGUACUCGGGCAACGGCAAGCAGAAAUUUGGAGUCGAACCUGCUGCAGAGAAAUCCCAACAGGGCAGGCCUAGUGGAGUUGUGGGAGUGGCCUGAGAGCCUUCAGCUCUGUAGCUGCCAGCUUGCAUCAUCAGCCUAGGAGAGCUGUGGGCAGGAGACUCCAGCCCCUGACAGCUGAACUCCAGUGCCUAUGAAAGCAGCCAGUUGCCAGGCAGAGAAUUCGGACACAUCUGUCACUUCCUCCCAGUGAUUUGACUAUUCUCUCAGUACAACAGUUUGCACAGUACUGCCACACAAAGUUGAUUUGUAAAUCUACUGUUGAACAAAAUGCCUUCAUAGAAAUUAAACUGAAUAGCAAAGCCAUGAGGUGGGGCUGUCUGAGGCCCUUGGGACCCAAUCCUUCACCAGUGUGCCCAGAGGGUUGGGACAUGGAGUCAGAGGAGAUGAUUCUCCGUAGAGGCUUAAUAUUUAAUACUGUCUGCCCUGUUGGGUCUUGGACUAACCUGGAGCCUCUUGCCUCUUCUUGCCUAUUUUUCCCUUUUGGAAAGCAAAUUUUGUGUGUGUGUGCCUGUCCCACCAUUUUAUUUUGGAUACACAUACCUUGUUAAUUUCCACGCUCAGGGCUGGAGAGGAAUGAUCUUGGGGUGAAUUGUGCCUUGAGUCUCACCCAUAUCUGAUUCAGACGAGACCCUGGACUUUUAAGUUGAUGCUGAAAUGUGUUAAGACAAUUGGGCUAUUGGAGGCAUUGGGAUGGAGUGAGUGUUUCUUGCAUUAUAGAAGGAAAUGAAUGUGGGAGUUGGGGUGGAAUGCUGUGGUUUGCAUGUGUGUCCCCCAAAGUUCAUGUGUUGGAAACUCAGUCUGCCGUGCAGCAGCAUUGGAGGUAGGGCUUUCUAAGGGAUGAUAAGGUCAUCAGGCUCUGCCCUCUCAAGUGGAUGAGUGGAUAAGUGCCAUCGUGACAAGAAUGACUCCAUGUCCUCAGGUGUGCGUAUGAUGUGCAGCACAAAGGGCUCUCCAGAUGCAGCCUCUCAACUUGAGACUCAGCCUCCAGAACUGUGCGAAGUAAUCUCUGUUCUUUAUAAAUUGUUCCAGCCUUAUUCUGUUAAAGCAGCACAGAGUGGUUUCACAAAGGACUUUACGGCUUGAAAAGUGCAGGGAGGAGAUUGGAGAAUAAAACAGCAUUGAGGCGCCGUGCUGGUGUUGGUUAGCUGAUCUUUUUGCAUGAGACAGAGGAGGUUGGGGGAAUGGUAUCUUAGAAGCCGAGAUCAUAGAGGUAGGCUGGGGCCAGAUUAUGGGGACUUUGAAGUUAUAUUGGGAUUCUUUUCCAAGUACUUAAAGUCAGCACAACAGCUCUUCGAAAUAGGUGUCGAUGUUGGCUCCAUUUUACGAAUGAGAAAACUGAGAGAGAGAGGUUAUAUAAUUUGCCAGAGAUGACACAUGUAGUAAAAAUGGAGCUGAGACUUCAAGACCAAGCAGGUGAUCUCAUGAGCUUCUCUGCUUUACUGUACCCUUUCCCCCUGCAGCUGGUAUGAAUUGUUUGUAUCCUUAGUGCAAACAAGGAUACAAACAUGGGAAUGUUUUUCCCAUGUAGAUAUUUAAUUCUCUUUGAGUAGCAUAACACUAGGGUCAGUGUAUGGUCUGAGUUUUGUUUCCUCAUCCAAAACUGCUAGUAAAUCUCCUGGUGCCUCAUUUCCCUUAUCUGUACAGUGGAUUAGUAGUAUCUACCUUGGGGUUCGUUAAGAGUACAAAUUAACACUUGCGGCAAAGUGGAUGCAUAUAUGUAAUUAAUAUUUUGGGGCAUAUAGUGCUAUAUAAAGUGUUUACUACCAUUAUCAUAAUCAUUAUUAUUGUGAUUUCAGUACCUGAAUUUAAGUAUAUUCAGAAGUGUUCCUGUUGCCUUUAUGUUUAAGUAUAAUUCCUAAACUUUUUAUGAUAAACUGUAAUAAUAUUUUAAUGAUAAAAUUUAUUUAUUUAUUUAUUUAGACAUGGAGUCAUGCUCUGUCUCCCAGGCUGGAGUGCAGUACCUCUGCCCCUUGGGUCAAGCAAUUCUCCUGCCUCAGCCUCGGAGCAGCUGGGAUUAUAGGUGCCCGCCACCACGCCCGGCUAAUUUUUUUUGUGUUCUUAGUAGAGAUAAGGGUUCACCAUCUUGGCCAGGCUGGUCUUGAACUCCUGACCUCGUGAUCCACCCACCUCACCCUCCGAAAGUGCUGGGAUUACAGGUGUGAGCCACUGUGCCCAGCCAAAAUGUUAUUAUUUAAAAAAAAAAAAAAUCGGACACCGGUUAUAACUCAUAGAUUAAAUAGCAAAAUCUCUCUUACAGAGGAAUUAAACGAAUUACUUUGUUUUUCAGAUAGCAUGUCAGAAUCAUAAUGUGAAAAAGAAUUACUUAUACUAAGAACAAAGUAUUACAGAUGUCAUAAGGUCUUGUUUUAUGUUUCUUAUGACAUCUGGAGCCAUCAUGUGAGUCCAGAGUCAGGGCCCAGACCACGUAGUGCAGUGGCAACUUGUUUAGUUGUAGACACCUGUUUUUCAGCAGAUGGCAGACUGUGUGUUCCUGCAUCAAGUGCUUUCAGGAGACUCUGAUUCUGGUGCUAGGGCUUGAGCUCUGUUUUCCUUUCUCUUGAUUGGAGUGCUCAGACAUCUGCGGAGGUGGAGAGAAGAAUAUAAUGAACCGAAUGCAGCAUCGUGAACUUCAACAGUUACCCAUCUCCACAUUAGACUGCUGUUUGUUUUUGUUUUCUGAUAUGCAGUCUCACUCUUGUCACCCAGGCUGGAGUGCAGUGGUGCAAUCUCGGCUCCCUGCAACCUCUGCCUCUCAGGUUCAAGUGAUUCUCUUGCCUCAGCCUUCUAAGUAGCUGGAACUACAGGCAUGUAUCCCCAUGCCUGGCUAAUUUUUUAUAUUUUUAGUAGAGACAGGGUUUCACCGUGUUGGCCAAGCUAGUCUUGAACUCCUGACCUCUGGUGAUCCACCUGCCUCGGCCUCCCAAAGUCUUGUGCUAUCAUGUCUGAUGUGGACUACUGUUUUUAAGUCUUUUCCUCCCCCUAUGCACACAACUGUUUUAACUUUUUUAUGUGUGUGUAUAUAUUUACUAUAUGUGCUAGGUUAUUUUAAAGCAAAUUGUAGAUAAUGUGUCACUUUAUCCCAAAUACUUCAGCAUGUAUCUCUGACAUAAUGCCAUUUUCAUACCUGACACACUUAUCUACAGACAUUUUUUUAAUUGCUUUUUUUGGGGGGUGUCUCCUUUGUUUUUUUUUUUUUCAGUUCUUAAUUGCUGUUUAUUUCUUUUUUUUUUUUUUUUUUUGAGAUGGAGUUUCGCUCUUGUUACCCAGGCUGGAGUGUAAUGGCAUGAUCUCAGCUCACCGCAACCUCCGCCUCCUGGGUUCAGGCAAUUCUCCUGCCUCAGCCUCCCAAGUAGCUGGGAUUACAGGCACGCACCACCAUGCCCAGCUAAUUUUUUGUAUCUUUAGUAGAGACCUGGUUUCACCAUGUUGACCAGGAUGGUCUCGAUCUCUUGACCUCGUGAUUCACCCGCUUCGGCCUCCCAAAGUGCUGGGAUUACAGGUGUGAGCCACCACGCCCAGCCCCUGCUGUUUAUUUCUUAAAGCUAGAAAAUUAGAUAUAACUGUAAGUACCUAUAUAUUUUAAGGGACAAAAUUCUGAUACUGUUUUCCUUUGGGGGGAAUUUGUGAACUAUUUAGUUACCACUAUCCCAUGAAAUGUAAUUUGGGAAAUACUGAAACACUAGAAAAACCAUAAGCCUGGAAUCUUUCUGACUGGAAUAAUAUUUUAAGUUACAUUUUAUUGAGUUUAUGAGAGUAAGGAAAAAAUACAAUGCAGCAUUCUUCUGUUAUUGUUCUGAGUUUUUGGAUUCCCGGUCAUAUUUGGAAUUGAGCACAUGGAGUAUGCUCCUUGUCAGGUCAGACUCUGUUGUCAUUAGGAUUUGGGUUUGAGUGGCAGGAACAUGUGACUGCUGUACAAGGGGUUAUUUUUGGCCUCUGGGUGUUGGCUUCUCCUCAGAAAGCAUAGCAAGUUAGUGUGAGGUACGUCUGUGGAGGCUUGGGAUUGGCACCCGUGUUGUGUGCUUGUGAGCUCUCAAACAUGGGCUGUUGCUUCAGCAAAGGACUAAGUAGUGACAAUGACAGUGAAAAAAUUGGCCUGUUACAAAAAUCUGUGGAGGAGAAGGAACCAGAAAACAAGAUAAGUAAAACUUUAUCUUCAUUAUAUGGUACCUCUGAGGGUGAGGAGCUUCACGGUGUUGGCAUUGGAGCCAGCAGUGAAGCUGCUGGCCUUAGUGCGUGGACAAGUAUUUUUGCAGAGUCUGAGCACAAACAGGGUCAUAGACCUACGCAGUUGGUGAACCCUAUUUCCUCUCUUGUAUAUACAUUCUUAACAAGGUUUGAAAACUUGGAUGAGAGUGACAAGAAUUCAGAUACUGUUGUUAAUGAGCAGAAUUCUGAGGGAGUCUGUGACCCACUGUGCGUGGGUACUGGCAGCCAAGGCUGUUGUGAAGAGGAACCCUUCUCAUGUGUGCCAGUGCCUUCUGACCGAGGCCUGCAGGAGAAAACUUUUGUGAGUGGCCAUCUGCACUAUUACCCAGCUAUUUGUAGACACUCUUUAGUAGAGGAAGAAAUGGUGGUCAGCAUUCACCUCAGUAGCGGUGAUGAGAAUAAGUCUUCAGACAUAUCCAGUAGGGAGAAGAAAGACAGAAACCCCGUUUGUGUUGAUCAUCAGCAAUAUCUGGAUUUAAGGGAGUACGAGUUUCACAGCAUUUGUGUUGCAGACUCUGCCUUCCCAAGUGUAGGAGAGAAGCUGGGCACCUGGGCAGGCAGAGUAACUGCAAAAGGAGAGUGUCGCUCUGCUGUGCCUUCAGCCCUGCGUUCCGUGUCAGGGGCUGACGAGCCAGAGCCAUGGCAGGAUGAGCUCCUGCCCCGGGACACACUGGGUCCAGGUGAACGGACAGGGAAAUGCAGUGGGAAAACCCAGCCUUGCCCUGAGCCUGUGGCAUUCAGCCAUGCACCUUGUGAAGCAAAUGCUCAUAACACACAGGUGGAGGCUGUACAGGCAGAAGCUUGCACUGAAUUCCCUAAAAAUUACACAGAAAGUAGUACACUGCAUAAUAUUGACCUACUCCCUGAAGUAAAUAAUAACAUGAACAGUGACUCACUGAGACUUCCGUGUGUCCUUCUGGAAGAACGUGAGAGCCGUAACUCAGGAGUAGGAAGUGAGAUGGAUCAUUCUCCUGUUAGCGUCCUUACUGACACUGCGUGUGUUGCAGGGAGUGAUGACCAGGAGGCUGGUGUCGACCAGAAUUUACAUUCUAAAAAGGAGGGAGAAAAUAACUCUAUCAAACCACUAAGAGACAAUGAUUGUUUCUACCUGGAUAUUAGCAAAUUCGAUAGUAUCCUUCCCAUUGGUUUAGAUAGCAUUGAUUUAAGUCCCAAGAGGCCUGUCACUGCAGUGAGAUUUGGAAGUGGGUGUCUCUCAGGUCACACUAAUUCAAGAGAAGCAGCCCCAAGCCAGCUUGAUGACUGCUGGGAGCCGGAAUCUGUCCCUGGGCCACUGAGGAAGGCGCAGCGCAGAGGAGACUGUGGCCUGGAGACCAGAGGUCACUUACUGGCAGACAGAGGAGAGCUGUCUCUGCAAUCUGAAAAUAGUGCCUUUUACCAGGAAGAGGACAAAAUUGGCAUUUUUGGGGCUAAGGGUCAUGGUAUAAGGACUUUUCAGUUGAAAUCUUGGUGUCAAGCAGAUGAGGCUUCGACACAGACUUGUGACCUAACUUGUGUGGAGCGUGUGGUGGACAUGGAGGGGACGGUGCAGAGGACAGACAGCUGGAAGCUUAGCAUGGCACAAGGAGUGCCCCCCGAUGGCAAGUCUCACCGUCACUCGAGGUCUCUUCAGAGUAACUGUGUUUCCUCCGCAUUGAUUUUCACCUGCACAGAGGAAGAAGUGAGGGAAAUAAGCCCAAGUGACAAAACAGAGGGUGAAAUAUGUGUGAAGAGUUUAGUCAGUGUGUCAGGAGACCAGCUGAGUGACCCCCAAAGGUUAGAAAGUGGUGAAAAAGAAUCACAGAAAGCAGAGUAUAGAGAGACAAGUGAAGAUGACACAGAGACUGUCAAGUCAGAUUCUGAAAUGACCUGUGAGUGGGAAACAGGUACACAAGGAUGUGAGGCAGUGCCAAGUCAGGAUGUACUCUCCUGCGUUAGUUUUAGUACGACAGAGAACCCUGAUUUUGAGACUAAUCAAAUAGAAAAAAAUUAUGAAACACACCAAGUAUAUGCCAGCAAAUACAGUGGUCUUAAUGUGUUACCACCUUUAAGUCAAAGUUUUAAUCCAGUUAUACAGAAGUCAGAAAUAGUAGAGAAAUCUGUUAGUAGUGGUGAAAGCCCAAAAUGGAAGGGAAUUUACUCUGAAUCAAUUGAAGAGGCUUCUGUUGUCUUUGGUACUAAUACAUCAGGGUUGAGAAUACCAAAACUAACAUGUAAAGAAGAGGAAGAGAGACUUUAUUUGGAGAAAGAUAGUAUUGACCCCAAAAUUUUGGACUGCCUGGGUCCAUGUGGGACAAAUGAAUGUGCAUACCAUUUCAAAGAAGGAAAUGCCAAGUCCACUCUUAAACAAUCUACUUUAAAUGGUGAAGUGGGUUUUAUGGGAAUAACUAAGGUGAUUUUUGAAAAAAUGGAGUCACAUGGCACUUCCAAUGGGCAUUUAUUUUUGGUUGGUGUUGAUCCCACCCUAGUGGACAGAUACACAGCUCCCCACUGUGAUACAGCCCAGGGGACUCCUGCUGUCCCCAUGGACAGCAAAGAUGCUGUCGUAUCAAAUAGUGACCGCAUUUUAUCACUCACAGAAGGUGUCCUCAAUAGAUCAGAACAUCCCUCAAAAAUGGAUUGGCAGAGUUUCCCAGAAGGAGUUUCCCAUUUUUUGGGUGAAUUUUCCUGUUACCCAAUGGGAGGGCUAGCAAAUCCAGUAUUUUCUGAAAGACUGGCCCGUGGUUGUGGUGGAUAUCAAAUGGGCUAUCUCUGGACUAAUACAGUCACAAAAGAUGCACUAGAAGUUGGAAAAAUAUUUAGUGAGGAUCUAUACCAUCAGCCACAGGACUUGGAAAUUGCUUCGUUUUCAGAAAACACUCCUCAGCUACCGGUAUCAGAGGAUGGUGUUAUUUGGGGAUGGCAUGAUAGAGAUGGACAGUUCGUACCAGCAACUAAGGUUUCAGAGCUGAACCCUAAUGCAGAAGUGUGGGGGGCCCCUGUGUUACAUCUGGAAGCAAGCAGUGCAAAUGAUUGGAUGCCAGUGGUGAUGGUGACCACAGCCAUGAGAAUGCAGCAUUGCCAGACCCACAGGAGUCGGACCCAGCAGGCAUGAACGCUCUCACUCUAGGUCCUGCAGAAUAUGACUCUCUCCCUGAAAGUAGCGAAACAGGAGGAAAUGAGUCUCAACCAGAAAACCAGGAAGACCCCCGAGAAGUACUUAAAAAAACAUUGGAAUUCUGCUUAUCUAGGUG